rnacentral:rRNA from 1 species
GAAUUCAACUCCUACGGGAGGCAGCAGUGGGGAAUAUUGGACAAUGGGCGCAAGCCUGAUCCAGCCAUGUCGCGUGAGUGAUGAAGGCCCUAGGGUUGUAAAGCUCUUUCGGCGGGGAAGAUAAUGACGGUACCCGCAGAAGAAGCCCGGGCCAACUUCGUGCCAGCAGCCGCGGUAAUACGAAGGGGGCUAGCGUUGCUCGGAAUCACUGGGCGUAAAGCGCACGUAGGCGGAUUUCUAAGUCAGGGGUGAAAUCCCGGAGCUCAACUCCGGAACUGCCUCAGAUACUGGAGAUCUCGAGUCCGGGAGAGGUGAGUGGAACUGCGAGUGUAGAGGUGAAAUUCGUAGAUAUUCGCAAGAACACCAGUGGCGAAGGCGGCUCACUGGCCCGGUACUGACGCUGAGGUGCGAAAGCGUGGGGAGCAAACAGGAUUAGAAACCCUGGUAGUCCAGGCGUU